rnacentral:rRNA from 1 species
UACGUAGGUGGCAAGCGUUGUCCGGAAUUACUGGGCGUAAAGCGUGCGCAGGCGGUUGUGCAAGACAGAUGUGAAAUCCCCGGGCUUAACCUGGGAAUUGCAUUUGUGACUGCACGGCUAGAGUGUGUCAGAGGGGGGUAGAAUUCCACGUGUAGCAGUGAAAUGCGUAGAUAUGUGGAGGAAUACCGAUGGCGAAGGCAGCCCCCUGGGAUAACACUGACGCUCAUGCACGAAAGCGUGGGGAGCAAACAGG